UGAGGAAUAUUGCACAAUGGGCGCAAGCCUGAUGCAGCGACGCCGCGUGGGUGAUGAAGGCUUUCGGGUCGUAAAGCCCUUUUCUAGAUGACGAGUAAGGACGGUAGUCUAGGAAUAAGUGUCGGCUAACUACGUGCCAGCAGCCGCGGUAAAACGUAGGACACAAGCGUUAUCCGGAGUUACUGGGCGUAAAGGGCGUGUAGGCGGACGUGUAAGUCUAUUCUGAAAGCUCCUGGCUAAACUGGGAGAGGCGAAUGGAGACUGCAUAUCUAGAGUGAGGAAGAGGAAAGUGGAAUUCCGCGUGUAGUGGUGAAAUGCGUAGAGAUGCGGAGGAACACCAGUGGCGAAAGCGACUUUCUGGUCCUUAACUGACGCUGAGGCGCGAAAGCAUGGGGAGCGAACGGG
rnacentral:rRNA from 1 species